rfam:Erwinia tracheiphila strain BuffGH Etrach_2, whole genome shotgun sequence.
ACACAUGCCCUGAUGACAACCAUUAUUAUUACCACCAUUACCACAGGUAACGGUGCGGGCUGACGCAUACAAAGAACUCAAAAAAAGCCCGCACCUUGAACAGUGCGGGUUUUUUUUCG